GACGAACGCUGGCGGCGUGCUUAACACAUGCAAGUCGAACGGAAAGGCCCUGCUUUUGUGGGGUGCUCGAGUGGCGAACGGGUGAGUAACACGUGAGUAACCUGCCCUUGACUUUGGGAUAACUUCAGGAAACUGGGGCUAAUACCGGAUAGGAGCUCCUGCUGCAUGGGGGGGGUUGGAAAGUUUCGGCGGUGGGGGAUGGACUCGCGGCUUAUCAGCUUGUGGGUGGGGUAGUGGCUUACCAAGGCUUUGACGGGUAGCCGGCCUGAGAGGGUGACCGGCCACCUUGGGCCUGAGGUACGGCCCAGACUCCUACGGGAGGCAGCAGUGGGGAAUCUUGCACAGUGGGCGGAAGCCUGUUGCAGCGACGCCGCGUUCGGAAUGACGGCCUUCUGGUUGUAAACCGCUUUCGCCUGUGACGAAGCGUUAGUGACGGUAAUGGGUAAAGAAGCACCGGCUAACUACGUG
rnacentral:rRNA from 1 species